AGGAAAGUCGUAGGCAGAGUUCCAAUAUGGCGCGCGAGUGUAAACACGUGUGGCGCGAAUCAUCCGUGACGUGUUCCUAAUUUUUCAUCUUUCGUGUUUAUUUCGUUUUAAAAUGUAUCCUGAUGUUCAUUUUCGUCAAUGUGAUCGAUUAAUAGUGCAUUCUUGUGAUAUUUUGCGAACAUUUACGUGAAACGGGAUUCAACUCGGCGUUUUCAAUUGGCUUCUAUUCCUCCAAAUCAGCUACGUUUACUGCGCAACAGGAAAGGGAACAAAGGGUCCGCAGUUCGUUAGGUGGACACAACUUUCUUCUAAUUAUCAAAGAGCGGCCGAGAAGAAACAUGGAGGUGGGCGGGGUCGGUAUCGCGACAGAUGCAAUUACAGUUAGUUACGGGAACUAAUCCACUGCGACUGCUUGUACUUCAUCAUCGGGGCUUUGCAAUUAUGCAGUACACGUAGUAUACACGAGUGUGCACGAUGGAGGACAAAAGUGUCAUAAAAUGUAACGAGGAAUAUUGAAAAAAAUACGUAAUUUAGAAGAAUACAUUGGAAGGCGUAAUGAAAAUUAUAUUUAUAAAAGGUUAUUUAUUAUUGGUAUUUGAAUAUUCUAAAAGAGAAUUUGUUACUCAAGAAAAUAAUCACCAAUGCACAGAGCAAAUAUAACAUAGAUUUUAUAUUAUAAUACAUCCUAUUCCUAGAAUUAUAUUAAAUAUUUUACCAGAAAUAAAUUAUAUUUGUAAAUUUAAUUUACUCUAGAAUUCGAUCAAACCCUGUUAAAAAUUAAGAAAAUUUUAAACCGCUGUAUAAGUUCAAAGAUAGUGUGGUUUCCAGUCGAGCGAGCGAACGAUCGUUGAAAGCGUCGAAAUCUUUCCCCUUUGAAACGCUUUUCGAUACGACUCCCGAUACAUCGUCGUGCAAACAAAAAGUUAAUUUUUAAUAGGUUCGCCAUCUUCGACACUUGCUCGCUCCCGUUCCCCUCAAACUUCGGCCAAACGACGCGAUUCCUGGAAAAAAGCUCACGCAUUUCGCAGGAGAAAUAUCUAGGUCAUCGGAUCGCAUCAUUCGUAAUUACCGUUUUAAGCUCCACAGAUGCUUUUGAAUUCUUAUAUCUCGGCAACCGAUCGAGAUAUCGGGAUAAAACAAAAAAAAAAAAAAAAAAAAGCGACUCGAAUGACGUGGAUUCUUCCAUUUCCUCGAGUGGAUAUUAUUUUUUUUUUUAUGACGUAAUUCUCUUUGUGUUUGCAAAAGUUUCAUUCGCGAUUUUCCUAUUAUUUAACGAGUAUUAAUUAACAUUUAUUGUUUCAUUAUUUGUUGUUAUUAAUUCGCAAUAUAAACGUUACUUUCAACAAUAUCGUUUCCAAUAUUGCAUUCAACUUUCAUUACUUUCUAUCGAUCGCAAUUAAUAUCGUAAUUUCGUAACACGCAAUAUACACGAUUAACAAUGCAAAAGUAUAAUUUUAUUACGUAAUAAGGAAGGGGGAGGCAUUUCUUCCUUUCCGAUUUUACAAAAUCUCUCAUCUCCUCGUUCGUAUACUUGAGCGUUUUCGUUUCACACUUCCGAUACAUCACCACGCCAGGUUAAUUGAUUCAAAUUUGCAUCCAUAUUCGAAUACACUGCAGAGUGGAACCAAACAUUCUACUCCCUUCUAUAUUCGACCCAAUUCGAAAGUUGAUUCGACGGUUGGAUAUUAUCAGAUAUAUAUAUACGUAGAGAGCUCGGCCACGUCUCCUCCACUUUUCCAUUAAAGAGGAUUUCCAGGAUGUGUAUACAUCCGAAAGAUUACAACGGUGUUGCUAUUAAUACGAAGUAAUUUUUAUCCGUGUCGACGCGUUAUUAAAAAUGAAGGAACGAGCGCUUCGAACUUUCGAUUUUACCCCCUUCGUGCGUACAAAUGUCACAGUUAAACAAAGAUGUUAUUAAAUAAGGAAAUUUUCCACGAACCAUUGAUUCCAGUGACCAUUCGUGACCAAACGUCGUCGGGAAAUGAAACGAAAAUUAGAGAACAAAAGACAC
rnacentral:lncRNA from 1 species